AAGAGGCGCUCUUAUGUAAGAGCGGUUGUUACUUUCUAAAAGAUGUUGACGUGUCAAUGGUGUAGUAUUUUCUUUUUUAUGAAACACAAAAAACAUUAUUUCCCUUUUGUUCCUCUCACGAGCAUCAAUUCUUCAUCGAACUCAUAGUUACCGGCGUUGUUUUGAGGCCACUACCAUCGUCUCUCUCCGUAAUCCUCUCCAUCAUCGUCAUCUUCUCAGUUUCGAAGCAUUUUCUCCUUUAAUAGGUAAAAUUAUGUAAUUUUCGUUUGUAAACAAUGUUGAAAUUGUAGAAGUUGGAAUUCAGAAAGUGUUUUUUAUCAAUUCAUUAGCUUUUGUAAUAUAGUCAAUGAUGGAUUCAUUAGCUUUUGACUGAAGAUUUAAAGCUUAUUAUAUAUUGCAUACCAUGUGUUCGAUGAUAUGCCUAAAUGAAUUCUGUCUACAGACUCUUUGAUUUUGUGUAUUAGUUUCAGAGAAAUAUGUAUCUUAAGAUGACAAAUUGUAAUUCUAAAUAGUAUAGUUUCAGAGAAUUCUGAUUGUUUGUUGGACGAUGUAAUCGAAAGUGGAAACGCUACAAGAUUUGGUCCCUU